UCAAGCUAAUUAGUGUAGCGUCAUCUUUCUCAGCCCUCUUGCUAACUUCAGCUACUGGAGCCUUCAAUCAAGACUAUUCUAAUGGAUUCAUGCUCCAUGUACUAGUGUAUUGGUUGGUAUGCUCUAUCCUUAUACAGCUGCACAAUCUCUAGCUUAGCAGCUCCUCAUCUUCCUAUCAAUGAAGUUUCAUUUGUUCUUCUUCUACGUCACAUCUGUUGGGUACAUAAAAUCUUUAAGAUAACUUAAUUUUCCCUUUAUAUUGUGCAAUCUUGUUCUCUUUCCUCAACUCAAUGGAAUGAAUAUCACAAAAAGUCAAUAUCAUCAUUAGAUCUGAGAAAUUAGCUUUCGAUAGCACAAAAUUUCUUGGUUAACCUUUGGAUCUUGUGACAGUUUAUUUUAUAGCAACAAUCAAAGUAUAAAUCACUAACUUUAUAUCAAAGCAUGGAUACUUGUAUUAAUCGUCACCCCAAGGUCUCACCAAGUAAUAAUACUCCUAUAAAAUUAAUUUUUUCCCACCCUAAUAUUAUCAUUUCUUAUUUAUUUGUUAUAAUUUGAAGUGAAUGUUGCAACCUGUUCAAGAUAUUUUUAGACCUCUCAAAUCUGAAAAUAUUUAUGUUAAAUAUUUAUCUUAAUGUGUAGUAUGCCUUAUUUGUCCAAUUCAAUCAUGCUUCUUCCUUUCAAUGGUAACUCUGCAACACUAUUAUUAUUUGUAUUACCUUAUCGAAGGGAAUGUAAUACUCUCACUGUCAUAUCUUCAUCAAAUUCUUAAUGGAGUUGACCUUUAUUGUCACAAUCUUCAUCAAAUUCUUAAUGGAGUUGACCUUUAUUGUCACACUCCAAGGUACAUCCCAUACUCCUUGAAGGAUUUGAAAUAAGCUCCUACAAUUAGCAUCCACAAUAAUUUCAUAUAUUUGAUUGCUCCUGUAGUAUGUAAAACAUUACUUGAUUGCUAUUAUCUCGGCUACAAAACUUGUAUUAUCAAAAUUCUCAUCCCUUUACCAACUAAUAGGUUGUCAAUCCGCAUACAAAAGGUAGCUGAGUUGUGGUAUGGGUUUCCCCUAGAUGCCCCAUCAGUAUUUUCUUUCACCAAGUAGUAGGUGGUGGCUGCCACCUGACUAUUCUUGUCAAAUACUAAACUCUAUAAGUAGUCAAUUCAAUCAAAAUGUUGGGCAAGCCUUUCCCUUCCACCUUUAUAUUAAAACUAAGUUCAACAAACAUAGCAAUGACAUCAUUUCUUUCCCAAAAAAUCAUUCUCAAGUGAUCUACAGUGAAUUAUAUUUCCUUCUCUUCUAAAGAAACCAUAAGAUAAAUAUAGGUAUCACCUUGAAAAUGUUUUCAUUCUUGAAUUACCACUUUUCUCCCUCCACAAUCUCGCACUUCGUUUUAGAUUCAGUCUCUGCUUAAUUAUGCCUAGAACUCCAUAGUAAUAUUGCCAGAGUUCCUCUGCUACCUCUCCCUAUAGGAAUAAACGCCCAAUUAUUUCUCUAACUGGUACAUUACAGCCCCCACUAUUCUAUGAAAUGUUGUGGUUCCACUGAUACAAAAUGACUUAAAUUGAAAUCAUACCUAACCAGACCCUCCAAGUGAUGUUAGGCCAAAAUUAUAUAUUUGUAGUUAUUAUUUGUCUCAUAUUUAAUAUUUUUAUUUAUCUUUUUUGAGCAUUAAUUUUAUUAAUUAUUCUUACUAUUAUAUUUUAAUGUGUCGGAUUAAAAUAAUAUGAAGAUGAAAAGAUUUGGAACUAAACUGAACUAAAGACUAAAUAUUAUAGAAAAAUAAUCAAGUAGACAGCUUAAUGGAAUAAACUUAAUAUUUUAAUAAAAAGUGACCUAUUUGAAUUUUAAACUUAGUAUUUUAAUAUUUUAAUGAAAAGUGACCCAUUUGAAUUUCAAUUGAAAUUCACUGCCAAUGGUUAGCAGCUUAAUGGCGUGACAUGCAGUGACUUUCUCUAGUCCUUUUUUAUUUGUACUAGUCUAUUUUGGAAUAAGUUAUUUUAUUUGAUGAUUUUUCCUAUACCUAUAAAUAUUUCAUAAAAUUAAUUUUUACAUAAUUUUUAACCUAGAGAGAGCUAGAAGCUAUUGUGGAGGUCAAAAAAUAUUGAUUUUAUCUUUUCUUCUCCUUUAUUAUUUAUUUUUUUAUUUUUCUUUGGAUGAGUUAUUAUAAUUACACAAUAUCAAUGUGGAGUUAAACAUCUCAUUAUAGGAUUAUAGUAGACAAUUAAAUGAUUACUUAGUGUCUUGUAAUUUUAUGUAUUUGACUAUCAUCAUCUGUAUUCUUAUAUUCUUGUGAGUACUAUUUUAAUGCUUAGCUACCAUUAAAAUAAACCUAUAUUCUUAUUGUGAAUUCGAAGGAGAAUCAAUGAGAUAUAACAAAGAAUAUAGGGAGUAAGAUAUUUAAUUUAGUAAAAUAAAGAAUUGAUUUGUGGUUGGGAUAUGAAUAUACCUAGAUUGCCUUAAUUUGUAACAAAAUGAAAAGAUAUAUAAACACAUUCAGAUUAGGUUAUCACAUCUCCUCUCAAUGAUGUAGUUGUGAGGUCAUUUUGAAUAGACGAUUAGAGUCGAAAGACCAUGAUCAUAUCAUCAGUCUCGUAAAUCAACAACUAUAUAAUCAAAUAAGUUGAUAAAAUGGAUACUCUACAUGAUUGUUGACGAAUCUGUAAUCCUAAAUUGAUUCAUUCAUUGAAUACGUAAAAAUCUGCUCUUUAUUUGUUUAAUUGUUCAAUAGUUAUUUUUUAUUUUUAGUUUAGUUAAUUGUUAAAUAGAUUUAACUUUACCUAUUGAAUAAAUAAUUAGUAGUAGUCUAAUUUAGAAAAUAGUUAAUUGACAAGUCCCAGUGGAUGCGAUAUUCAGACUUAAAAUACUAUAGUACUUGUAUGAUCGCUUACACUUUUGUGUGUAUUUGGAUGCAACAAGUUUUUGGUGUCGUUGCCACGGACUUUGAAAUUAAUUACUUAUCUAGGUUAGACUCUUUUUUUUUAUUUAUUUAAGUUUCUGUAUAUAUUCUAUUUCUUUCUUUUGUGAUAAAUAUUUGUUUAUAUUUUUAUAAGACUCCACAAAAUUUCAAUGAAUUACUUUUCGAUCAUCCUGAGUGGGCAAUGUCAAUUUUUGACUUGAAAUAUUUAAGGAUAUUAAAAGAGUGUUUUGAGAAAGUUCAAAAUUUUUGAAAGGGGUUCGACAAUAUUUUGGAACGCCGAGGUAGUGUACCUCUGCGAUAGUGGUGUGCCAUGCCACUAGAGCUGCGCAAUAUCAGCGUGGCACAGAGGCUAGCCUCCAUGAUAUUGACAUGUCACACUGCUGUGUGAAAAAAUCUCAGUUUUUAUAUUUUUCACAUUGGGUGAGUGGUUUUUUAUCUUUUUACCCCUUGCACGGCUUUUAAACACAAAAUCAACCUUUUUCCUUCAGUUUUUAAAGAUCAAACUCCACUCUUCUCUUCUUUAACUCACAAUCCAAUAAAACUCAAGAGUUUUUCAAAAAGUCACUACUCUAGGCAUCAAACAUCAAAUUCUCUUUAAGUUAUUCUAUAUUUCAGGCUUGUUGUUUAUCCCUAACUUGUAUUCUUACAUUGUAGCACUAAAUUGUUGAAUUUUUAUGUGAUUUUGAUUGAUGGGUUUGAAAUUGGGUUGAGGGCUUUUCAUGGUUAAUACUUGAAUUGUAUUCCCCAUGUUUUAAAUGCCUUAUUCAUGUUUCAAUUCUGGUUGUUGGGACUGAAUUUGUUGUCGUGAUACAAUUUACGAGUCAUGAUGGCACCUACUUUACCCGGCCAAUAGGUAAGCCAAACCAUAAUCCAAAGUUGAACGCAAUGGGUUAACUUGGUGGAAAAUGUCCAAUCAUAUAAAAAAUGAACAAUACACUCAUAAAUAAGCAAAGAAUUCUAAAUUGAUAAAACAGUCAAUAUAAGAUACCAUCCCACGACCUGGUAGAGCUAGUUCAAGAGCAUCUAAUAAUAAUAUAACUAAAAAACUUACAAUAGCCAACAACAUCUAUCUUGAUAGCUAAAGACUAAAUAUCAAAAUAUAAAACACAGCAUAAUCAACGAUCAAUGGCGGCAGCUAGUACAUAGAUCUACACCAAAAAGGAUAGAAGUGCGGUAUCAUCGACUGACAGAGCUAAAUCAUGAUAUAAGUAUUAUAAAAUACAAGAUAACGUAACUAAGUCAAGGUAUAGACAAACCUAAAAUAGCUCCGACAUCACUGUGCAUUUAUAACUAAAUAAAUUAGAAUAAUAACAUAACAUAAAGUAUAAACACAUACAGUCAUAACUACAAAUUUUGCUCCAAUAUGCCAAUUAGUAUAGAAAAGUAAAUAACUCAUCACAGACACCCAUAUGCCUGAAGAGUACAAUCAAGAUAGAAUAAUUCAACCAUCUAAUGUUAUAACUAACCUUCGUCGUCAUUUAACCGUUAUUUCACAAUUUUUACCAUCAUAUAGCAACCUUAUCUUCAUGAUACACUAGUCAUAGUUAAUUAACUAUCCAUCUCUUAUCACUAAUUCAAUUAUCAAGUAGUCAUCAUAUACUCGCUAGUCAUCAUUUAUCAACGAACCAUCAUUUGUCAACUAGUCAUAUUACCACUAGAGCCUAUUUAUGGCAUGGCAUAUUAUAGCCAUUUCAUUAUUUUUUGACCUAGCCAAAUUGCUACUUUCAAUUUCACACCCUGAUAAGAUUAAUCAUAAAAUAUAUAUCAUCAUAGCAUAAUAUGUAUAUCUAGACUCGAACCGGUGAAUACAAUCAAUAGCUGGACUUAAAACGUUAAUAAUCAAUAGCCGAACUCGAACAAGUAAUUAUAAUCAAUAGCCGAACAUGAAUAGGUAAAUAAUCAAUGGUCGAACUUGAACCAGUAAUUAUAUCAUUAGUGUCAUAUCUUCCAAACUCAAAUUGGGUAUAUAUAUAUAUACAUAAUCAACAAUAUAAUUAUUUUUUAGACUAAAACCAGAUAUUUAUAUAUAAUCGACAUCAUGGAUAGCAUCAUCAAUAACAUAGAUAAUAACAUAAUCAAUAGGCUUCAAUCCACACAUUAACCAACAUAACCAUCAAGUAUCAAAGUUUCUCAAUAUUUUCUCAAAAGGGCAUUCUCUAGGUAUUCAAUAAGCGUAUAAGGAUUUUCAGAGAAUUAACAUCGAUCUUGGCUUAAGGUGGGUCAAAGAGCCUACUUCUAAAUUCCUAAAAUUCAUUCUAAGUAAAGUUCUAUCCCAGACUAGGAUAAGGUAUCUAAAUUCUCUCUUAGAUAUUAAGAAAGCCACAAAUAGCCCUAAGGUAGAGAUCCAUCUCAAGCACUUUAACUAAAGUCAAAUAGAACUAAGACAACCUUUGUUAUUAGAAGCAACUAAGGCCAACUUACCCUAAACAUUAGUAACUAAAGAAAUUUUACUUACUAUUGAGUGAUCUAAGGUAUUCUUAUGCUAAAUAUGAGAAAUGAAUUCCAAUUCACCUAAAGCAUAAGGAAAAAAACCAAGUGUACAACUAUACGAUUUCAAAAUGGCCUAGACGGUCCAACUAACCCAAGUCUUGAAUUUCAUCAAUCCAACACCUAAAAUUCAUCCCAAAUCUAACAAAAUAUCAUAAGAAUACUAUGAAAUAGCUCAAUCUAACAAGGGAUAAACUUAGCCUAACUCGAUGUUGUAGAAAGCUCAAUGAUCGUCUAAACCACCAUUUUUCCCUUAAGACAAGCCUCCUCAAGAUACCAAGCUGUAAUAAACACAUUCUACUCGUCAAUACAAGAAUAAUGAUACCUAUAUUGCACCAUUGUGCUUUGGGUCUAAAAAUCAUUCAAAAACCCCAUGUGGGCCCCACUUACGAAAAUUGCAUUUUUGAAAUAAACCCAAUAUUCUUACAUGCUGAAGAAAUCAUUACCCUCAAUAAAUGGGUGAAAUUUAAGAUAAAUCUAGGCUAAAAUCAAGCCCUCAAGAUUUUGGGGUUUUAGGCAAGAAAUAGAUAAAAUCAACCAAGAAAAGGAUGAAUUCUUACCUCAAAUUAGAAUAUAAUCGCAAAAAUCAAUGUUAAUCAAGCUCCAAGUGACUCACAAGUCUCGAAUCCUCUUAAUUUCACUAUUUAGGGUUUAUUCUCUUAAAAAUAGGUGAGAUAUGGAUAAAAUUAUGACAUAAGGGCUUAUCUAUACCCAUACCAGGUACUCAGGUCCUGCUAUCACGACCUAAGGCCUCGCGAUCAUGAACCUAUUAGAGCUAAUCGCAAUCACAACACUAUACCAUGAUCAUGGUAAUCGCUGACUAGCAAGGGUAUCGUUAUCGCGACCCUUAGCUCAUGAUAGUGAUGCACUAGCUGAUAGCAAUGGACUUGGAAAUUUCCAAUUCCCCGUCAAGCCCAUAGGAUUCAUCCGAAAUCUCAUAUAUGGAAACAGACUAUAUAACCAUACCAAAUUUGAUAUUUCAAACUCAAUGGCACAAUCAAAUUUUCCAUUCGAGGUUGUUUCCACUAAAUAUGGGUCCUACACCCAUAUUUUAUUUUUUUAACUUUUCAAUUAAUAGGUCGAAAUGAGCUUGGGUGUCUCAAAACCUAAACCAAGGGUCCAACUAGCCUAAAAUUGAUAUUCUGGAGCUGUUGGUGCAGUUAAAAUUUGACUAUGAGAUCAUUUUACUAAUGUUUUUGCCCAAUGGCCAUUUAGAACCAACGAAGACUUUAAUAAAAAGAAUUAGUUCUAAAAACCAAACAAAUUGCCCGAUAAUUGAAUUGUUAGCUCUAGCAAGUCAUAAAUUACUUGGAGCAGCUAAAGAAGCUCUAACAGUGAAAUUAAGCGAAAAAUGAAAAAUGAACUGAGAGGUCAUUACAAUAUCAUAACUAAAGGAACUUUUGUUCGCGAAAGUUAAGUAUUAGGAUGUAACUGAAGUCUCAAACAGGUGAGGAUACUGGGUCUGCAUCUCACUCUUGAUAUGCUAAGUUGCCUCCUCCAUUGAGAGAUGCAUCCAUUGAACGUUAACUAUCAAAAUCUCUCUAGUGCUCAAUCACCUCACAUGACUAUCCAAGAUGAGCAUAUUUUCCUUCUCGAAGGUCAAAGGCUCAUCAAACUUUAUUGAGUCCCAUCUAAGAACAUGAGAUGGAUCAAAAAUGUAUUGCCACAACAAAGAGACUUGGAAAACUGGAUGAACAGUGGAAAAUCUGGAGGUAGAGCUAACUCAUAAUCUAUCUCACCUACUGCGCAAAAAAUCUCAAAAGAUCCAAUAUAUUUGGGACAGAGCUUGCCCUUCCUUUAGAACCUCAUAGAACCCCACAUGGAUGACACAGGAAGAAAUACUAGAUAACUAACUCUAAACUCAAGGCACAAAGCCUAUAGUCUGCAUAGGCCUUAUUCCUACUCUGAGCUGCUCUUAACCUAUCCUGAAUCACUAUGACUCAAUCCAACAACUCCUAAAGUGGAUUAAUACAAUGGGGCCUAACCUCAAAAGUCUCAAACUACCCAAUCGAAUAACGACAUCUCCUACCAUACAAAGCCUCAAAAGAGGCAAUCUCAAUUCUCGAAUAAUAGUUGCUAUUAUAUGAAAAAUCUGCCAAGGCUAAGUGUUUCUCCCACUAGCAUCUAAAAUCCAUAACACAGGCUUGGAAUAUGUCCUUAAGUACCUGACUAGUUCGCUCUAACUGUCUAUUCCAGAUGAAAGGUUGUACUAAGAUCCACCUGAGUGCGUAACUCCUUCUGAAAGUUCUUCAAAAUCUCAAAGUGAAGAUAAAACCAUGGUCUGUAAAUAGAUUAUCUCCUAAACUUAAAUAUUUGCCAAUCUCUCAGUACUGAAGGACAUCUAAAAAGGAAUGAAAUAUGUUCACUUGGUCAAAUGAAUUAUAAUGAUCCAAAUACCAUCAAAACCAUGGGAAGUAUGAGGCAAACCACCAGUAAAAUUUAUGGAAAUCUAAUCCCAUUUCUAAUCGGGACUGGGAAAUCUCUUAGUCGAUUCACCAAGUCACUAUUGCUCGAACUUUACCUACUGGCAACAUAGGCAAUGAGCUACAAAAUCAGCCACUUCUCCCUUUCAUACUGCUCCACCAAUAAUGUUAUCUCAAAUCUCUAUAUAUCUUGGUUGUGUCAGGAUAAAUGGAAUAUCUAGAGUUGUGAGCCUCAUACAAAAUCAACUGAAUCAAGUUUUUGAUCUUUAAAACACAAAUACAACCAUCAAAUCUCAAAACGCCCUAAAAAAUUCCUAUUGGAAUCACCAGUCAACACCUCAUCAAAAAGAAAGCGAAGCUUACUAUCCUCAAAUUGACAAUCUCAAAUCUGCUCAAAUAUCGAUGACCUCACCUCCACACUAGUCAAAAUCCUCAUAUGAUCUGAAUUAUCAAGGAUAACCAUCAAGUUUGAUAAGGACUUAAUGUCUUGUGCUAACGACCUCUGAGAAGCCAAAAUACAAGCCAAGAUACCGAUACUCAUUGUCUUUCAACUCAAGGCAUCUGCAACUACAUUAGCCUUGACUGAAUUAUACAAGAUGGAAAUAUCAUAAUCAUUAAGCAACUAUAUCCAUUUAUGCCAUCUAGAAUUAAACUCUCUUUAGGUUAUAAGUUCCUGAAGACUACGUUUGUCAUGACCUGAGACUACCCCUUAUCGUAACACAAUGCUUAAGGCCACAAAUAACCCCAAGUUAACUAAUGAUUUGUUACCUGUUGUGAGUACUGAGUAAAUUAAUAUUAAGGUAUCAUAUGUGGCAAUUAAACUAAUAGAAAUACUAUGAAAAUAGAAUACUAAAACAUCACCCAACAUGUUUGAACUAAAGAUAAAGCUUAAAACAACUUUAUCUAUUUGAAAGCCUCUAAAACAUGAAGAGUUUAUUUGACAAACCUCCAACUAACUCCGACAGUCUGAGAUAAAGAAAAAAGGUAAAAGUAAUUGAAAAUAUCCUAUCCUGAAUAGAUAAGAACUCACCACUAUUGAUGUUGAGAGGUACUCAGUUGAGUAAGGGCUAUCGUAGAAUUUUGUGUCUGAACCUAUGUUAUAAGACACCAUUGCACAAAAGAAAUUGUACAAGCAGUACUUUGAAUGCACUGGUAUGUGAGAUAGGGACAUUUUAAAUACACAUGGACACUAGACAUUGAUGCAUGAACAUAUAAAAAGAAUGCAAGACCAAUUAAAAUGUGGACUGAGAGAAUCUGUAAAAUUAAACAAGUGAAUACUUAUAAGUCAUACACUUGGUCAUCCAAACCUAAUCUAAUAUGGUAUGAAUACUAUACUUAGACUAUGAGAGCUAACUACAACUAACAUGACUCAAUAUGAGCUUUGGGGUCAAACCUAUAACCCUAGUUAGAAGGGUGUUGGUACCUUGCUAGGGGUACUAACAAAUAACGAACGAUGCAGAUCCAAAAGGCUGGUGUCCUAAAGAAAAAGGGUGUUAUGCCUCUACUGAUAGGGGACCCCUCAUAACCUACAGUGGCAUCAUUGGAAUGGAACUUAAGGACUGCUACUAAUGACUUAUACCUAACUAACGGGGGAGCUUUCAUCCCUAUGUUCACUCAAUGCUAAGUGCUACUCCCAACUAAAUGACACUGUAUUAUUAUUCAUUUAACAUGAUAGGGUAUUGUACUAAUAGAGCAUGAACAUGGUAACCUGAAUAUGAUGAUAAAAUCAUGAUCUGACAGACCUGUUACUUAAAAACAUAAAUAUGUAAAAACAUAUAGGUAUUGGGUGUUCAUAACCCUCAAGCACUGAAUGAUACUUUUAAUAUAAUAACAUCAUUUAAAAUAUUGUAAGAAAAUUCAUGAUUCUAAGACCCAAAACAUAGUCCAUUCAACUAAAUUGACGAAAUCCAUGAAUUUGAAUAUAAGAUAUGAAUAACUUGGGAGGACAAUAUGUUCAUAUGGUUUAAUUCAUGAAUUGGUAAAUUAACACGGUGUCAGCUGAAUAUGAUAUGGGUGAUUUAAAUUCAAAACAUAUAAUAAAAUAAGUCACAUAGGGAAAGAUAUUGGUAUGGAUUGAAUCUAUAACUACUCAGAAAACAUGGAUAAAAUUCAUGAUUAAUAUUAAUAUUUUCAUAAAGGAGGAUGAGAAGUUCAUACUUGAACAAAAAGGGAUUUGGGGACUAAAUGGGUGGUAAUAAUCGAUUAAUGAACACCCCACAUACCUUAAUUGCUUGAGUUCUUGAAGAAGAAGCUUGGAAUUGGGACCUUGAAUAGUUGAAUCCUUGGGAAGAUGCUUGAAUUUACGUUGUUGGGAAUGGGGAUGGCACGUCGUGUAUUGCGGAGGUCCUACCUCUGUGAUAUGCCCAAAUCAAGGAGGCAUUCUGCCUUUAAGGUCCAAAAACACCCCAAACCUAUUUUGAAACUCUCUUAGAUGACCCUUUUAACAUCCCUCAACACAUUUUAACUCUAAAAUUGUCAUUUCAAACACGGGAAGGCCAAAAAUAAAAUCUUUGAAAUCUUGCGGUCUUAAAAUGGCUAAGUCUUUUGUACAUAGUGUUAAUUAAUGCCUUUGACCCCUUUAAACAUGUGUCUAGGAUGUGGAAACAUGUCUAGAAUUUAUGGGGUAUAACAGUGAUGGUCGGUGAAAAUCACAUAAUGCAAACCAUAAAGAUAAUGGCUCCAAAUCUUAAGCACAAAAACUACCCCGCCAAUUCAAAAUCAUGAGUAUAGUAGUUGAAGUCGUGCACCUUAAGCUGUCUAGAAGUAUAAGCAAUGACACGACCCUGUUGCAUCAAUGCAUAACCUAAAGUGACACCAGAAGCAGGACAACACAUGGUGAAUCCCUCACCCUCAAUAGGAAGAGCUAAAAUAGGAUCUGAAGUGAGAAAAUCCUUAACCUUUUAAAAGCUUAACUCACACUCCUCAAACCAUCCAAGGGGACCUCUUUUAGAGUCAAUUUUAUCACAGGGAUGAAAUAGUAGCAAAACCCUCAAUGAAACAUUUGUAAUAACCAGUCAAACCAACAAAGCUAUGAAACUCAGUCAGAAAUUUAGGUCUAUCCCAAUCAUGAAUAAACUCAAUCUUGUUUGGGUGUACCAUAAUACCAUACUUAGACAUCACAUGCCAAGGAAUGUCACUAACUCAAACCAAAACUCACACUUAGAGAACUUGGCAAAAAGCCCAUGAUCUCUCAAAUUCUGGAGCACAAUCCUCAAAUAUUAUGCAUCCUUCUCUAUUCUUCUUGAAUACUUAAGGAUGUUGUCGAUGAAUAGAAUCACAAAGAAAUCCAAAUAAGGACUGAAUACUCAGUUAAUCAAGGUUAUGAAUGCAGCUGGGGCAUUAUUCAACCCAAAAGACAUCAUUGGGAACUCAUAAUAACCAUAACAGGUGCUAAAGGAUGUCAUCUAGAUAUUCUUAACACAUAUCCUCAAUUGAUGGUAACCAGAUCUCAAAUCAAUCUUAGAAAACACUACAGCACCCUGAAUUUAGUUAAAAAGCUAAUAAAUACAAGGCAUAGGAUAACGGUUCUUUGCCCUCACCUUAUUAAGUUGUCUAUAAUCUAUACACAUAUUCAUAGAUCCAUCUUUAUUCUUCAUAAACAAUAUAGGAUCUACCAAUGGAGAUGUACUCGAUCUAAUAAAACCCUUAACAAAAAAAUCCUGAAGUAAAGAAUUCAAAUCUUUAAUCUUGAUAGAAUCUAGAUGAUAAGGUGUCAUAGAAAUAUAUCGGGUGCUUGGCUCGAGGUCAAUAGACAACUCAAUCUCAUGGAUAGGGGAAAACUAGGUAGGUCAGUAGGGAACGCAUUAGUAACUCACAAACUAUAGGAAAAAAGUCAAGCGACGAACCCUCCACACUAGUAUCACAGAUAUAAGUGAUAUAAGACUCGCUACCCCUCAAAAUAGGCCUCCUAGCGUGAACAUAAGAAAUAAUCCCCAUUCACUCACGGCUAACUACUACCUGCCACAGUAGGAAUGGCUAAUGUAAUGGUCUUAGUAAAAUAAUCCAUGAUAGAAUGAUAGUGGGAUAACCAAUUCAUGCCCAGAAUUAUAUCAAAAUCUGCCAUAUCUAGCAUAAUAAGAUCAACAAAAGUACCAACAUCGCUAAUAGUCAUAACACAUAAUAUGAAAACAUGGUACACUACUAAAGAAUCACCCAUGGGAUUAGAUACACAUAAUAGCACAAAUAAUAAAUUUGUUGAAAUCUUUUGGGGUUUCUCAACACAAUAAGGGACCAAGUCCCUCAGAAUCAAUGACAAGAAAUUGAAAAAUAUAGUGCAAGAAAACUAAAGACAGCGCAAAAAGAGCAAAAGAUAAAAAGAUUUUUAUGUGGAAACCCCGGAUGGGAUAAACCAUGGCUUCACAAGCACCAAUGAAAUCCACUAUAAUCACUCUCCCUACUUACAGUCUAGAUUUUAGCCUAGGCUCCUUAUACUAACAACAAUUCCAUUAACAGCUCAUCUUGGUAACCCUAACAAGGACUCUCUCUACAUUGACAAGCUCUAAUCAGUCUCAAGAUUAGGAAACUCUACCUAAGAAGCACUCUCAAUGAAAAAAAAAAUAUUAAUCUUAUAGCUGUGAAUAAUUUCCUUAUAAAUAAAAACUCAAAAACACUCACUCAUUCUUUAAGAAAAAUACAAAGUUAAGAACAUGAGCAAUGCUUGAGCAGUCUUGAAAUGGAGUUUUUGUAGCCUCUCUUUUCUCUCUUUAGAAUUGAAAAAAAAUAAUUAUUGAAGAGCCAUCUCUUUUUUUUAUAGUUGUGUGAUGAUUAGGGAUAGAGUAUCAUUGGACUAGCUGUCCAAGUCGGUACAAAAUAGCACCUAUAAGUUUGUUACACAAGAGGACAAAAAUAUGCAAAUAUCAUGUCCCAGCUGUAUAGUACUUUGCACUUCUAGGGACUUGAUCCCUUGCAGUUUAGCUUCCCAUCAUCAAAACUACAUAUAGCAAUUUUCCACUUUUUUAUGAUGAAAAACCAAACCACAUAAUUUUGUGCAUUAGUGCUCAUUCAUCAUAUUUAAUCAGAGUGAUUACCACCUAAGGAUGAUUUUCCCCCCUAUCAUCAUGAUUCCUCUAUCAUGCAAUAUAGGGACCUGGUCCCUUGUUGACAUCUUACAACAAAAACUUCCCUCAGUCAUUGUGCACUUUUAUUUCAUUUGGUGUCUUUGCAUUUAAAAUUUCCUCUAUCAUUGUGACUCUUUUUAGGUUUGUAUCUUAAUUUGCCUGUGCCUGAUCCCUACUACAUGAACUUAGUAUUCCCUUUAUUGGCAUUAUUGAAAAGAAUUAAUAGUAAAGCAAGAGUAAAGAUAAGCACAAAUUAGUUAACUCAUGGCCACUGGGGCAACGCUAACAUAUAGAAUAGCUCUAGAGUUAGGAGACAAAAGAGAUACACAAACUAAAGAUUGAUUCACUCAUAAUAGUCAGUACCAGUACAGUAGGCUAAAAUAGUCAUUAUAAGAUGAUUGUCUAUAAAAGCCAUUAUGAGAACUAGGAUAUGGAACUAAUAUAAGGUUGAUGAGGGAAUAAAGAUAAUAGGGCUUAGGUGGAAGGAUUAUUGGAUAAAUAGGACUUAAGUAGUACUCCAUUCUGACUUAGAGUUUUGCAUUUCUACCUGCAUGUUUAUCUGUGACACCUGGUCAUUCAGAGGAUAGCUUUUGAUUCAGCAAUGUCAAAUACAUUUAAUCCAGCAUCUUUGACAGCUUACUUGAUUCUUAACUCCUCCAUUUUUAUUCCUAACUUCUCUUAAAUAGCUAGCAAGUCAGCUACUUGAUAUAUAUUUUCCACAAGUUUUGCUCAAACUGAAUAUCAGCUUGGCUGUUCCAUGUGAUUUUCUAUUCCCAAGUACCCAAAAGUGAUCAAAUACUUUGUUGAGUAAGUUCCCGAUUGGUAUUUCAUGUCUCAUUUUUCUUUCAUCUAUUGGGAUCAAGAGUACUUUCCUAGGAGAACUUUCUGAUUCAUCAACAUUUUAACUCUUUUUUAACCACCCAUAUUCUUCAUCUCCUUCUUUAGUCUCAAUACUUGCCUCUAUCCUUUUAGUAGAAACUUUUUCUUCCUGGGACCAGGUCCCACAGCAGAGACUUUUUUCCUUUUUACAGCUUAUGUGUUUCUUCCUUAUUCCAAUUGGGUUACCAUACUUGGACAUAGUGGACCUAAGAUGAAGUUUUCUAUGGCCUUGGUUGCUGAAGGAUCAAGAUAUAUAAUGAAGGCAUAUUUAAUUUAAUUUUAUAGAUGAAGGAUAAUAAGAAGGAUCAGUUGGUUUACUGGACGCAGCGAGUGAUGAGUUGAAACUCAAAGUGGGAAGUAUCCAAUUUUAGAAAUUUGAAAAGGUAACUAUUGUCAUCAGAAAAUGACAUGUUUAGGUUUGAUAAGAGUUACUCUUUAUUUUGCAAAUGAAUUGACAAGUUUUAUGAGGGAAUCAAAAGAUGCAUGGCUUUCUCAGAUAGUAUAUUUUAUGAUUAUUAAAGUAUAUUGUAGUGAUACAAACCUUAGACAUAAGAUCAGAUCCCUCUUCUUUAAGUGACCUUCAAGUUCGUGCUUAUAACUUUUGUCCACUUCCUAAGUUAUUCCCAUGGGAUUAUACCUGCAAGGUUAUAGAACUGAGUUAGUCUAAAAUGUACCAAUAUUAUCAAGGAUACCUAUCUCCUUAACAUAUCCAAUUUUGUGGAUAAAUAUUUAUUCAUAUAUUAGGUUAAUUCAGUAUCAUGCUUUAAUCUUUGCAUACUCCCUUUUUCCUCAAAACUUGUUCCCAAAAUUAGGUUUGGAGACUAGGUCCAUACUUGACUUAAUUUAAGCUUCUAAAGUUUCUCCUUCUAAGAUGAUUUUCCAAGUGACUUGGUUCCUAAGAAUCAGGUCUUAUCUGUAUCUUUUAACCUCUUACUCAUCAUCUUUACUGCCACCAUAGAUCAAUGAUUUUCCUGACAAAUUAGGAACUACAUGCACUUCUUUUGUCCACCCACAAAAUACCUUUUCAGUUUAUUUUUAGUGCAUUUUCAUUCAUUAUAUCUAAAGGCCAUUCUAGGUCUUUCUUUAGAAAAUAAUCUUCACACAUUCUCUUCUUGAAUAUCAGCUUUCAUAGGAUAGGAUUAGGUCCUUGAAAUCAACUUUUCACAAAGAUACACCUUUACCAGAAGUUUCAUGAGAGAGAGCACAGUCAAACAUUCCAUCAUUGAGUUUUAAACUCUUUUAAUCAAUGAUUUAUUCCUAACUGCAAUCUCUUUCUCAUACCUAGAAUCAUGAUCACUUACCAGAUUUGGAACCCACUUGAGUCUGAGUUCCUAGUAGUGGGACAAUGGUUUGGUCAAAUCCAUUUUGGACCAUCUAGGUAAAGAGUUCUUUCUUAUAAUUUUAUGAGGCUGGAGACCUUUAGAAUGAGCAUUUUCUUGCUGAAUACAUUUGGAAACAUUCAUCCUAGCCUAAUCCAGUUAUGAAAAUCCUUCUUUGUGUGCCCAUCUAUUCCAUAAUGAGUGUAUAGAGGCUUGUGUACCUUGUUCUUAGCAUUAUGAGCAAUUUUCCAUUGAUACCUACAAGGUUGGUUUCUUUCUUGAUAACAAUCCCCUUCCCAUUGUUAGAACCUUGAUUAGUUAAGUUAGAACAGAUCUGAGAAGUGUAGUCCAUUGUAGGGAUUUAAUAAGUUCUUCCCUUAGACAGACCAGGUCCUUAUCUAACUCCUGAUUCUCCUAAAGUGCAGUCAUGAGAAGUCUUUGAGAAUCUUCUAUAUUUUUUUCAAACUCAACCUGAAACCUUGAGACUUCCAUCUUUUCUUUAUAACUGGAACCAUCUUCUUUAUCCAAUUCACUUAGAAAACACAAAUUUUCAAGUUUCAUCUUAGCAACUUUUUGCUCAGUUUCUAGUAUUUGGAGAGUCAAAGCUAUCAGCUCAAGCUCCUAAUCUUUAAUAUUUUCUUCUUGAGUAUUACCCUUUUCUUUAUCAUAGCCACUAUUAGAUUUUUCUAGUUGAUUGACUAAGCUUGAAUUUUCAUAUUUCAACUCAUGUCCUGCUCUUCAGUUUCAGAUAUUUAAAGAGUUAGAGAAAUUAACUCAAGCUCUUGACUUUCCACCUUUUCUUCUAUAGCAUUUUUUUAUUAGUCAUCUCACCAUAUUGAAUCAAUCAACAUAUUGGCAAGCUUUUUAACCUUUUUAGUAGAGUAAUUUUCUAGGUUCUCUUUAAUGUCAGAGAGUGUUACCUCAUCUUCUUCUUCAUCAUAAGUGUUUUACAUAAAACAAAUCAAUCUUUCAAAGGUCACUUUCUCAUCCUCCACAACUAUCAUAAAAACACCUCCAGUCCUUUUAUCUUCACCUGAAUUACUGGAAGAGUCUUCCUAUACUGCCAUAGCUUUCUUUAUAACAUAUUCAUUUACUUUCUCUCUUUUUGAAUUAUUAGGGACCAAGUCCCUAAUCUUUCUUUUUUCACCUCAGGUUUAGAGGAAUCUUGAUGAACCAUCUUUUGUAAAUAGUCCUUGAUAGAAUGCUCAGGACUUCCACAUUUGUGACAUACCUCAACAUUGUUUCCCUUGCUGAUGUUAUUUCUUCUUCUUUAGAGUUGACCACUACUUUUCAUUGGUUUGAUAAUUCUACUUGCAAUAUAGGAAAUAUUAGUCUCUUCUUCACUUGAGUCAUUCUUUGAAGCUUUCAAUGCCAUAGAUUUUUCCCUUUUGAAAUCUUUCUUCUGUAGAUCUUGUUGCUUAUUAAGUUCAUAAGUUUGUAGAUUUCCAAUUAGCUCAUCCAUGGUGAGGGUUUUUAGAUUUCUUUCCUCAUUUAUAGCAUCUACUUUACUUUUCUAUGAAUUUGGAAGAACAAGUAUCUUCCCCAAUUGCUUGUACAAUGGAGCCACCUCUCUAAAGUAGUGCAGCUCAUUGGUGAUGAAGGUGAAUAUUGUAUGCAUUUCUUAUAUUGUCUCCCCUUAUUUUAUAGUGAAGGUUUCAUACUGAGUUAUCAGCAUGUCAACAUUAAAGUCCUUCACAUUGGUUAUUCCCUUAUGAGUAGUCCUUAAAAAACUCUAAAUCUCUUUAGCAUUUUCACAAGCUAAGAUCCUAUUGUAUUUAUCAGGACCUAUGCCACAUACUAAUAGUUUCUUGGCUUUGUAUUCCUUUUCAAUCUUUAUCAUUGAAUUCCCUCUUUCUUUUGACAACCAUCUUUGUAAAGUAUCCUUCUUUGACCUCUCUAACAGACACAUGAGGACCAUCAAGAAUAAUAUCCAUAAGCUCACUAUCCUCAGCCAUAAUGAAGUCAAACAUUCUUGUUCUCCACCACCCAUAGUACUGUCUAUUGAAUAUUGGUGGUCUAGUUGUAGAUUUCCCUUCUUCUAGAUUAGGAGGAGAAGCCAUUCUAACCAAGACACUCUAGGUAUAAACCUUUUUAGAGUGACAAGGCUCUAAUACCAAUUGAUGAAACCCUUUGGUGUUACUCCACAUAGUAAGGGACUAGGUCCCUCUGAAUCAAUCAUAGACAAUCAUAUAAUAGAUUGCAAGAAAACAAAAAAUAGUGCAGAAAGAGAAAAUGACACAAGGAUUUUUACAUGGAAACCCAAGAUAAGAUAAACCAUGGCUUACCCUCAUAAGCACCAAUGAAAUCCACUAUAAUCAACCUCCUAAUUAUAAUGACUAGCUCUAAUUAGUCUCAAGCUUAGGAAACUCUACCUAAGCAGCACUCUCAAUAAGAAAACAAGAUAUUGCUCUUAUAUAUUUGAAUAAUUCUCUUACAAAUUAACAAUCAGAAAUACUCACUCACUCUUUAACCAAAAUACAAUGUUAAGAACAUGACCAAUGCUUGAGCGAUCUUGAAAUGGACUUUUGUUGCCUCUCUUUUCACUCUUUAGAAUUGGAAAAAACUAAUUGUUGUAGAGGUGUCUCUUUACUUUUAUAUCUGUGUGAUGAUUAUGGACUGAAUAUCACUAGACCAGUUGGCCAAGUCGGUAUAAAAUAACACCUGCAAGUUUGUUACACAAGAGGACAAUAUUAUGCAGAUAUUGUAUGCCAACUGUACAUUAGUUUGCAUAUCCAGGGAUCUGGUCCCUUGGAGUUUAGUUGCUCAUCAUCAAAACUACAUAUAGCAAAAUCCCAAGACAACUCCAACCGUGGUGUGUAAUAAGUGAAAAUAGAAGAAUAAGUAUAUUCCAUAUCAAAUAAAGUAAGGGCCGAUUAACACACUAAAAUUAUACCAGUAUCAACAACAUCAAAAGUCUCAUCCUCGAACCUAGUAGGUACUGAUAUAAUUAACUACGACCGCAACCUGGCUGGGCAUCUGACGACCUUUUAUCCUUCCUACCUGAGAACCUUCUUGAGUACCCUGGGAACCACCCUUGUGACCAUGAGAACCAUCCCUAGCUGAGUGAUAAACUACUCUAAUAAGAGAGCACCCUAAGGUGAAACAACAAUCGCUCAUGACUAAGGUACUCUCAGGAAUAAUGACCAAGAUAUCCACAAUGAUAACAGGCUCCCUGAUCUGAACCAGGACUAAUAGAUCUGGCUGACCUCGAGUAACCACCAUGACUAGAAUGGGAAAAAGAGGAACCCCUCAAAGAUAGACCACCACCCUGACCAAGGCAGUCUCUAGAACUAGACUGACCUCCAUUAGUAAUCUAAAGUGUUGUUUGAACAGGUUGACUAGACUAACUCUAAGUCUAAUAUUAUAAACAUGGAGAAUACUCACAAUGAGAAAUAAUACCUCUAAAUUGGGAACUACUACAUCUCCUAUAAAUACUGCCAUAAUUCUAGGCCUCUUAUCGUUGCCUCCUUGGGCAUCAUGAUACAUCUCUUCUAUUUUCUAAGUGUGAUAUAAAACCUCAACAAAAUACCUAACUAUAGCAAUCAAACUAUAAGUAGACAUACGAAUGGGAAGUCUCAACCCUCUUACAAAGUAACAAACUCUCUUAUACUCAGUGUCCAGAAUAGAAGUAGCAUGUCUAACUAACUCAUAACAAUGAGCCUCAUACUUAAAAACUAUCAUGGAGCCCUACUCCAACCUCGUAAACUAGUUUCUUAUAUGAUCCCUAAGGUUGUGAGGCAUAUACUUCUGUAAGAACAUCUCAGAGAGCUGAGUCCAUGUAUAGGUUAAAGAUCCAGCUAGUCUAUAAUCCAUAAAACCUUGCCACUACUGUCGAGUAGCUAAUUCCAAUUGAAAUAUGGUGUAAUCUAUACCACGAGUCUCAACAAGGCCUAAAUUAUAGAUCCUAUCCCCACAAGUAAUCCAGAACUCAUAUGCAUCCUCAUCGGUGCACUAAAAAACCAACACUGAGUGCAGUCUCAAAAAUCUACCCAACAUCUUUUGCUUCUUAGAAGAUAUAGCAGGCUGAACAACUAUCAAUAUAUUAGGAACCUCAACUAUAGGAUCCAUAGAUAUAGGAUAUGCUCCCACUUUAAUAACACUCUAAUCAGUAAGUUGUGCACUAUCAGAUAACACAGCAUCAUUAAUAGAUGGACUUGAAUUGGUAAAUAAUCAAUAGCCAAAAUUGUAUAGAUAAUUAUAAUCAAUAGCCAAACUUGAACUAGUAAAUAAUUAAAGGCUGAGCUUGAACUAUUAAAUGAUAAAUAGUUAGACUUGAACCUAUAAUUAUAUCAUUAGGGUCAUAAUCAUCCUUCGGACUUGAACCGGGUAUAUAUAUAAUCAACAACAUAAUCAUCUUUCUAACUAGAACAAUAUAUGUAUAUAUAGUCAACAUCAUCAAUAUUAUCAUCAAUAACAUAGAUAAUAGCAUAAUCAAUAGACAUCAACCCUCACAUUAACCAACAUAACCAUCAAUUAUCAAAGUUUCUCAAUAUUGCCUCAAAAGGGCAUUCUCUAUGUAUUCAUGAAACGUAUAAGAAUUUCAAGAGAACUAACAUCGAUCUUGGCUUAAGGUGGGUAAAAUAUCCCACCUAUAAAUCUAUAAAAUACAUUCCAAGUCAAAUUUUACCCCAUACUAGGCUAAGAUAUCUAAUUCCACUCGUUAACAAAUAGCCCUAAGGUAGACAUCCUUCUCAAGCACUUUAACUAAGUCAAAUAGAACUAAGGCAACCUUCAUUAUUGUAUAGAACUAAGGCUAACUUACCCUAAGCAUGAUUAACUAGAGAAAUUUUACUUAAUAUUGAGUAAUCUAAGGUAUUCUAAUGCUAAACAUGAGAAAUAAAAUCAAAUUCACCUAAAGCAUAAGGAAAUAAACUAGGCAUAAGGAAUCAAACUAAGUGUUCAACUCUAUGAUUUCAAAAUAGCCUAAACGGUCCAACUAACCAUGUAUUAAAAUUAAUCAAUCCAACACCUAAAACCCAUCUAAAAUCUAACACAAUAUCAUAAGAAUGCUAUGAAAUAGCUCAAUCUAACAAUGGAUAAAUCUAGCCUACCUCAAUGCCAAAGAAUGCUCAACGUCCUACUAAACCACUAUUUUCCCUUCUGAGAAGCCUCCUCGAGAUGCCAAGCUAUAAUAAAUAUAUUUUACUUAUCAAUAUGAGAUAAUGAUAAACAUAUUGCACCAUUGUUCUUUGGCUCCAAAAUUCAAACAAAAAGCCCAUAUGUGUCGCACUUAUGAAAAUUAUAUUUUUGAAGCCAACUCAACAUUCUUACAUGCUCAAGUAAUCAUUACCCUUAAAUAAUGGGUAAAAUCUAAGCUAAAUUGAGGCUAAAAUCAAACCCAAGACUUUAGGGUUUGGGGCAAGACAUUAAUAAAAUCCACCAAGAAAAGGGUGAAUUCUUACCUCAAAUUGAAAGAUAAUCACAAAAAUAAAUGUUAAUCAAGCUCCCAAGUUAGCCACAAGUCUAAAUUCCUCUUAAUCUCACUAUUUAGGGUUUAUACUCUCAAAAAAGGUGAGAAAUGGAUAAAAUUAUGACAUAAGGGCCUAUUUAUACCCAUACUAGGUACUUAGGUUCCACUAUCGCAGCUCGAGGCCUUGCAUUCAUAGUAUCUUGAGCAUGUCAAUCCCAGUAAUGAUCAUGACACUAUACCAAAAUUGUAGUAAUUACUAACUAUCAAAGGUAUCAUGAUCACGACCUUUGACUAGCGAUAGUGAUGCACCAGUAGACAACAAUGGACUUAUGAAAUUUUUGAGUCCCCGCCAAGCCCUCAAUAUUUAUCUAGAAUAUCUUAUACAUAAAUGAAAUAUGUAACCAUAACAAAUUAGACAUUUUGGAUUAAAUGGCAAAAUUAGAUUUUCUAUCUGUGGUUAUUUCCACAAAAUAUGGGUCUUAUACCCAUAUUUCAUUUUCUUAACUCUCUAAAUAAUAGGUCAAAAUGAGCUUAGGUCUCUCAAGACCCAAACCAAAGAUCUACCUAACCUAAAAUCAAUAUUUUGGAACUAUUGGCAUAGUCAAAAUCUACAUACGUGAUCAUUUUAUUAAAGUUUUUGCCUGGUGACCAUUUGGAACCAGUGAAAACUUCAAAAUAGGGAAUUGGCAUUAAGAACGAAAUAAACUGCUUAGUAACUGAACUAUCAACUUCAGUAAGUCAUAAAUGACUUGGGACAGCUAUAGAGAAGCUCUAAUGGAAAAAUUAAGCAGAAAUAUAGAAAAUAACUUGAAGGGUCAUUACAUUGGUGUAUUAUUUUAAUAGUUGGAAUAGGGUAUAUGGUUUUUCCAAAUUUGAUGAAUUUUGCCUGGAUAAUGGAAUUAACCUCAAGACAUAUUGUAAAAUUGACAUUGAAUAUGGAUAAUUUUAUGGUUCAACUUGUAUUUUGAACCCAUUACAUUAUAUUAAAGGAUAAAUGGAUGAAUAUGGUUUUUGGGUGGCCUUGGUACCUUGGUUUUGGAUUUUAAAUGGAAAUUGAGAGUUAAUUUAGUUAUAUGGAUUGGUUUAGCAUAAUUAAUUUAUCUUGCAAGCAUAUUGGUGUGCCCAUACCAAAUUGUAAUGAAUGGCUCCUAGGUCAAUAGUUGGUAAAUGUGCAAACUAUUUUAAUUUAGGCUUAAGGGGAAUUGUGUAGCUCAUAGUAAAGGUUUAGAUCCUAGAGGGAUAAAUACUGAAAACCAUAUUUGCCGGUGUUGGUAGUUCAUGUGACCGUGUACUUGGUGCACACACUAUAAAUAUAUUGGGAGCUCUAUAUCUUUGGUGUCUUUAUCCUUUCCUCUAUUUUACCUCAGUUCAUAUGGUUAACAUGCACUGAGGCCCUUUCAGUAAUGAGAGCUAGACCCAUAUAUCCAUGGGUGCCUUUAGGAUGGAGCGAGCUACACAGUUCAAGUUAAUAUUUUAAACACUCAUAUUCAUAACCCUUCUUGCUGUCCUGACAUCCUAUAUAUAUGUGUAAGAAUGUGGUGUACAUAGUUUAUGAUUAUAUUUCAUUAUUUUAUCCCUAUUCCCUAAUUUAUAUGCCAGUGCUUGCCUCAAUGACCAUCCCAGGAUGCUAUAUCCUUUCAUAAUGUAGGGUUCGAGGGCUUUUUUAUUAUUCCUAUGCAAUGUUAGGUAGUUAAGUACUCUUUUUUAUCAACUGUGAAGUGGUGAGACUUCAUCCUUCGAAAGACCCUAUCAUUUCAUUAUUUUUUUAGUUAUUGUAGUACUUUUGGAUUAUUUUGGGUCAUAGUCGGGGGCAUGUCCUGACUUAGUUGGUAUUUCUAGUUUUAGAGGCUUUUUGUGGACAAAAGUGAGAUGUUAUUAGUGGCUUGUUUAAAUCUUUACAUUUUAUUUUGGUGUCAUUUAUCUAUUAUUGGUCUAUUUGUCUUUAACUAUUUACUUUUAUUAUCCUCUUGAGGCAAGGCUAAGGGGUGGCCUCUAGUCUUUCAUGGGCUUGAGAUGCCCUUCACGGCCAGGAUCGAGGUCGGGUCAUGACAAGCUUGGUAUCAAAGCACAAUUCAGGGUCAUUGGGUAUCUACAAAGUUGUAUUGAGUAGAAUCCAUUUUAUGGGUGUGUAGUAUUCCACAAUUAUAAGGGGGAGGCUACAAGGCAUUUAGUAAUGUUUUCUUUCUUGUACUCUAUUUUGGGGAAUAGAGUCUAGUUGCUAUAAAACUCUUCUAACUCUUAGCUUUCUUUAAUUUUAUAUCAUACCUCCCCAAAUAUUUGAUGAUUGUAUAAACUCUACUGGAAACUUUCUCUUAAUUAAUAAAGAUGUGGAGGGAAUUCUCUCUAUUUAUGUAGUGUAGACUUAGUCUAGGGCCCCUAAUCCUGACUGUGUCGCUCCAUAUUGGGUUCCACUAGUCCUUAUUAGUACUCCUCAGGAUGGUGAUACUUAUGCUCAAUUACCUCAGAGAGACAUCUCUAAUGUAGAGUUCCAUCAGUUUAUUCAUUUUCUUGCUCAAUUAGUGGCAUCAUAGUCCCAUCGAUCUAAUUAUCCUGGUCUUGUUGUUAGUUCAUCUAAGGUUAUUUAUGUUUUCUAGUUUGUGAGGUUGAAUCCCCCAACCCUUAAAAGUUUUAAGGUUUAGAAGAAUCCUUAAGGGUUUAUUUAUGAGAUGGAUAAUAUCUUUUGGGUAAGGCAUAUUAUUGAUUUGGGGGUGUGUAGUUUGUUGCAUAUCAUUUGAAUGAUGUGGUAUUAGUUGUAAUACCCCAAACUUUCUUUAAGUUGAGUUUCAUCCUUAAGAAGAGUAAGGACUAACUUCCCAAGUGAGAAAUAUUUUAAAGUAUGUAGAAUUUCCCUACUAUUUACAUUUCAUCAUAUGGAGAAUUGAAUAAGCUUUCCGUCGAUACCAAAUUCGUCAAAAUCUAAUAUCGGGGUAAAAAGUUAUAGACAUUUUACAGAAAGCUAUCUAGACUGCCUAGGUACGACAGGUAGGCCAACGGACCAUCGAGCUAGCAAUGGACUGUCGCCCAUAGCCAUUGCCAAGAGACAGUAGUUCCAUUCACUGGCCAAGUGCGAUGGUUAGGACCGAAGAACCAUUGCCCUAGAUCAUCACGAUGAGGCAGUGAGUCCCAGUUCUAGUCAGUAAUGAAGCAUGGCAACAUAAGUGUUAAAGAGUACAUUCUGAAGUUCUAGUAGUUGGUCCAUUAUGUUCCAGAGUUGGUGUAUAAUAUAAGGUCCCAAAUGAGGAAGUUUCCAUCUAGUUUUUCCUAUGAUUUGGUAUUAGAGUGUAAGGUUGCUACGUUGAAUAAUGAUAUGGACAUAUCCUGAUUGGUGGUUUAGAUAAAACAAGUGAUGGAUUAAAAAAGAGUAAGUAGAGAUGAGAGAGAGGCACAACAAGAAGUUUAGAUAUUCAAAGCAGGGUGAAGGGAAGAAAAAUAGUAGGAGCGAUGGUAGAUAGUGAACCAAGAAGAAAAAUUGGGGAAAUUCUUAUUCAACAUCUAGUGCUCCUUAUCCUUAGCCUUUGGAUGAUCAUAUUUUUAAGGCUAGCAGUGAUCCUAAGGCACAGGGUUCCUAGUCUCAGGAUAGUGGAACUCAGUCAGCCCUACCUUUUCCUGCUUUCCAUUUUCAUGAAGAGCUUCACUGUGGAUUAUUUUAGGAGGGGAGAAAUUUGUGGUAUAAUUAUCGAUGGCUUAGUACUAUGAAGCAAGAAUGUUCUUCGACUGGGGUAGGCAUUGAAACUAACAAGGUUUCAAUUGCCACUUCUUCGACUUCUUCACCCAAAGGUACAACUUCUUGUACCAAUACUAGCCAGAAUUAUCCCUAUGCUCUUGCUACUCAUCAGGAAUUUGAGUUAUCUCUAGAUGUUAUCACUAGUAUGUUACACCUCUUCUCUUAUGAUGUUUACUAUUUGCUUGAUUCAAAUUUUUUCCUAUCUUAUGUGACUCUUUAUGUGGUUAUACACUUUAGUUUUGGUCCUAAAAAUAUCUUAGAUCCCUUUUUUAUUUCUACUCAAGAGGAUGCUUUUAUUAUUGCUAUAAAAUCUAUAAGGGUUGUGUGGUGUCUGUCUUUCAUGGAGAGACAUUAGUGGAUUGGAUAAAACUUGACAUGGUGUAUUUUGAUGUAAUCUUGGGGAUGGAUUGGUGGAUUUUGAUAGAACUUGAUAUAGUUUCCAGUUUUCUAAUGAACCAGUAAUUGAAUGGGAGGGGAAUUACUUAGUACCCAAAGGGAGGUUUAUUUCUUAUAUUAGAGCUCAGAAAAUGAUUUUCAAGGGGUGUAUAUAUUAUCUAGUUUGAGUUAAGGAUUCUAUUUUUAAGAGUCACUCUUUGCAAUCUUGUAAUGACCCUUUAGGUCAUUUUUAAUAUUUAAGCUUAUUUCUGUUGUUUAAGUUUCUCUAUAGCUGUCCCAAGUCAUUUAUGACUUGCUAGGAUAAACGAUUUGGUUAUCAAGCAGUUUGUUUGGUUUUUACAACUAAUUCUCUAUUUGUAAGUCUUUUCUGGUUUCAAAUGGUCACCGAGCAAAAACUUCAGUAAAACGACCUCAGAUUGAAAACUCAACAUCACCAACACGUUUGGAAUGUCAAAUUUAGAAUGGUUUCAUAUCACGUUUGUGAAAGUUGGAUUUUGGAUGUAUAUUGAGGCCUUUGCCAAAACUUCAAAACAAAUUCCAAGUUUCAUCCAUUGCCAAGUAUAUAUACUAUGAUCAUGGAGGCUAUUGUAUGAUCGUGAUAACCGCAAUCAUGGCACACAUAUGUUUGUGAUCGUCACUUCUGUGGACCUAGGCAAUAUGUAUUUAUGUGUUAUUUUGGACGAUAAUUAGGCCAUUUCUCCAUUGUCUUAGUAUCUAACCUAAUGGAAAGAGAGGUUCGUAAAGAAUGUAUUGGGUGUUGAUUGGGAUCUUGAAUAGCUUGCUUAUUCGCGAUUAACAUCAAAUCUAAAGUAAGAUUCCUUUAAUUUUUGGUAUUGAAUUCUUGUUUAUUGGACCUAAAACCCCAAAUGGCUUAAGGCUUGAUUUUUUCCCUAAAUAUGGUUGUUUUGCACCAAAUUCUUGAGGGUUAUAACUCCCAAAUUAUGUUUGAAAAGUGGGUUGGUCUCAGAAACUCAUUUUUCCUUAUAUGGGACCCACUUGGGUGUUUUGGUGUCAUUUUUGGACCCGAAGCACUAUAGUGCAAUACGGGUAUUGUUAAACUCAUAUUGAUGACUAGAUCAGGUUUUGUUAGUUUGAUGGCAUUUUAGGGAUUGUUAAGGAGAGACGAGCAUAUGCUGCAUGAUGUGAGGUUUUUAGAUUCGAUAACGAUGUAUGACUCUAUAAACUCUUCUUCAUAGAUGAUGUGUGAUAUGUAUUGCAUAUGAAUUUGGAUGGUAGGCUUGAUUAUGCAUAGUGUAUCUUAGCCUUGAAUAUUGAUGAUUUGGGGAUUAUUGGAGGGUUUUGGACCCAUAAAAUGGCAUGUUUAUACCCUUUUUAACCCUAUUUCCUUCCCUCUCUAGUUUAGAUUAGUUAUAACGUGGUUAUGAUGUAAUGUUAUGUUUGAGAUGUGGUUUUAGCGAUUGAAGUAUGAAUUGUAGAUUUAACCUUAUUGGACUAGUGUGGUAGUCUUGAAAUCGUAACUUGGGUAGAGUAGACUUGAGUACCCUUAUUUCUAGUUGAAGCUCCUAUCUUAAGCUUUAAUGUGGCUUACUUGACAUCUAGAAAUUAAACUAGAUACCUUAGCCUAGUUUUUGGGUAUGGUGUACUUAAUUAUGGAAAUUUAGGUAGGAUCGUUCGGCCCACUUAGGACAAGACUUAUGUUAACCUUGUGGGCAUAGUACGGAUGUUAGACAUAGAUGAGGAUAGUAAACCUUAGUGUAAGGUUACUUCAUGACAUGGUAACUUGUAUUGAUGUUCCCUAAAUUAUGGUUUUGAGCUAUGGCUAUGUUACUCCUUGUGGAAGCGAUAUUAGGCAUUUAGAGAUGAUAUUCCUCCUAGAUACAUUAUGUUCCCCAUAGUGAUGCUAUUUACUCUUAGACUUGAUUAUUGGCAUAUAGAGAUGCUAUUCCUCUUAUAUAUGAUUGUUGGGUCAAUAGAGAUGCUAUCUCUCUUAGAUAUGAUUAUUGGGCCUAUAGAGAUGUUAUUGCUCUUAGAUAUGAUUAUUGGGCCUAUAGAGAUGUUAUUCCUCUUAGAUACGAUUGUUGUUCCUAUAGAGAUGCUAUCUCUGUUUGGUUAUGAUUAUUAGACCUAUAGAGACGAUAUUCCUCUUAGAUAUGACAAUUGGCCUAGAGAGGUAAUAUUUCUCAUAGUCAUGAUGUAUGACCUAUUUAUAUAAGAUAUCUUAUAGAUGAUUACAUGCUUAUUGAUAUUAUAUCUCCUAGAUGUGAGAUACCUCCUAUAUGAGAGAUAAUUAUGUGCUUAUUGAUACUAUGCCUCCUAUAUGAGAGAUGAUUAUGUGCUUAUUGAUAUUAUGCCUCCUAUAUGAGAGAUGACUAGAGAUAUGCUACAAAUUAUAAAUAUGAUUAUUGAUAUGAGUUUCGGAUACGUAUAUGAACCUAAGGACAUGAUCAUAAUGUUGGGGUUAUUCUAAAUAUAUUAUUGGUCUAAGGGCCGUGUUAUGAUAACAAUUGGAUAUUCGAGAAGUGUUUACAAUUAUAAAGGAUACAAUUAUAGUUUAUGGAUUCAUAUACAUGUUUUAUAUACAUAUCUCACCGGUAUAGGAUGUAUGAAGAUGCGGUAAGUUGCUUACGACUCUAUUGAUUGUAUACUAGUGAUAACAUGCAUAGAUUUGGUACAUUCAUGAUUAUUGAAUUGAUAAAUUAUGUGAUUCUAGAUGAAAUAUAAUCUUAUGAUUGUUCUGCUUAAUUCAAGGUUAAGCUAUGUGGUAGUUAGUUAUUCAUUAGGAUACUAUAGCACUUGGCGGCAAGGGAUCAAAUGUCUUAGUUAAUGAGUCUUGCUAAGUUAAAAUAUGGUAGUUAUCAAUGGUUGAUACAUGGCUUAUGGUGAGGUCGAGCCUAGCAUAGAUAAAGAUCAGUUGAUACUGAGGACUAAGUGUGUGAUGUCAAUUGGUCGAUAAAUAAAGAGUUGUGUAUUAAUGAGCCUAGAUAAUAAGUGAUGUUCGUAAUAAGAGGUGACUAGUUAAUAAUGAUAAAUAGUUGCUAGACAGUUGAUUAAUGAAUAGUUAAGAGAGGAUUAGUUGGUUAAUGAUGGUUAGUUAAUUAAUGAUGUUGGUUAAUAAAAGAUGGUUAGAUGAUAAGUGGUUAUGUGUUGUCUAAUAACGGUUAGCGAACAUGUGAUGAUUAGUUGAUAAUAUGGAAAAGUGGAUAAAUGGCGAUCAUGGUCUAGUGAUGAACCUUGGUUAAAUGUUAGAUGUUGUCUAUUUAAUAAUUAAUGGUUAGUUGCUAUCCCUUUAAUAAGGAUUAUAUUUAGACAAAUAACUAGAUGUCAUCUAAUGACUAGCGAACUAGUGGUUUCAUUAUAAAUAGCAUUGGUUAGAUAAUAAUGAGUAGUUAGGAAGUAUUUUCUAGAAAGAUACUUUAUGGUGAUAUGAUUUUGUUCAUGAAUAUAUUACUAUAUGUUAUUCCAUAAUGAUUAUUGUGAUAAUAUUGAUAACCAGUGAUGAGUGGUGAUUUUACCACCCAUUCACACUCAACAUUUGUGCACAUUACCUUGUUUUGAAUAAUAAAUGAGGCACAAUUGUGAUUAAAUUCACUAAUAUCCACUCUUUGCAGGCAUAGAGUUUAGGAGACAGAAAGAUGUGUAUUGGAGCUUAAAAUGAUCAAAAAUGGUGCAAGAAAGUAUAGCUAAAGACCUGGAGCAAAAGGACCUCAGUUACUAUAGCUGCGGUCUUCUGACCACAAUUAUGGUAGUCAAGCAGGGUUAAUCAACCAUGGUCAUGUGAGUCUAUCGUGGUCGCGGCCAAGCUAGUGUAAUGGUAGCUUAGCAGAAUAGUUCAACCCAAGGGAAAAUCUAGAAAUACACGUGGCUGAUCCCAAUUUUCACAAAAACACUCAAACCCUAAGUCAUUCAUCAUAUUCCAUCUUCCCAAAUUUUUAGUUUUAGCUCUUGAGUUCAUAGCCUCCAUUUCUUGAGAAGAAAACAUUGUAUAAAUUUUGGGU
rnacentral:lncRNA from 1 species